rnacentral:rRNA from 1 species
AGUGAACGCUGGCGGUAGGCCUAACACAUGCAAGUCGAACGGCAGCACAGUAAGAGCUUGCUCUUACGGGUGGCGAGUGGCGGACGGGUGAGGAAUACAUCGGAAUCUACUUUUUCGUGGGGGAUAACGUAGGGAAACUUACGCUAAUACCGCAUACGACCUACGGGUGAAAGCAGGGGAUCUUCGGACCUUGCGCGAUUGUAUGAGCCGAUGUCGGAUUAGCUAGUUGGCGGGGUAAAGGCCCACCAAGGCGACGAUCCGUAGCUGGUCUGAGAGGAUGAUCAGCCACACUGGAACUGAGACACGGUCCAGACUCCUACGGGAGGCAGCAGUGGGGAAUAUUGGACAAUGGGCGCAAGCCUGAUCCAGCCAUACCGCGUGGGUGAAGAAGGCCUUCGGGUUGUAAAGCCCUUUUGUUGGGAAAGAAAAGCAGCAGGAUAAUACCCCGCUGUUCUGACGGUACCCAAAGAAUAAGCACCAGCUAACUUCGUG